GUGAACAAGUUUUCUAUUGCUACUAUAACAGAUUACCAUAAAUGCAGCUACUUACAAAGCACAAAUUUAUUGACUUACAAUUUUGUAGGCUAGAAGCCCAACACCAUGGUUUCACCAUGCUAAAAUCAAAGCGGAUCUGUAUUCCUAGUGAUUGUAGGACUACUAAGGGCUUCAUUUUCUUGCUCUCAGCUGUGGGCCUUCCCAGCUUCCAGAGACCACCCACUUUCCUUGACUCGUGGCCCACUUCUGUUUUCAAAGCCAGCAGCAGCUGGUUGAUUCCUUCUCAAGCUAAGAAUGUCUGUUCCUCCUUUCAUCUCAUCUCUAACCUAGCUGGGAAAGGUUCUCUGCCUGUGAGGAUUUCUUUGAUUAUAUUGGGCCCACACUGAUAAUCGAGGAUUAUCUCCACUGUCUCAAGGACCAUACCCUUAAUCACAUCUGCAGAGUCCCUUUUGCCAUGGAACUGUAAGAUUACCCAGCUGCGGUUAACAUAUAUGAAAACCAUUUCCUGAGUGCAGUGAAAAAGAAAGUGUUCUGCUUUCUCUACCAGACUACGUGGGAACAGAUAUUCCUCUUUAUUGAAAUCCAUUGCAUUGCUUUAGCGAAGUGACACCUCGGGCUCAGGCUGGAAACAACCCCCUUCUUUUGAUCACCCUUGUGCAGGUUAAAAAGAUCAAGUGGCAUGAGCAGCCUUUUGGGGAAAAUCGGAGCCAAGAAGCAGAAGAUGAGCACCCUAGAGAAGUCCAAGCUGGACUGGGAGAGCUUCAAAGAGGAAGAGGGCAUUGGCGAAGAGCUAGCCAUCCACAACCGAGGGAAGGAGGGGUACAUCGAACGAAAAGCUUUUCUAGACCGAGUGGAUCACAGGCAGUUUGAAAUCGAGCGAGAUCUCAGGCUGAGCAAAAUGAAACCCUGAUGUGAUGGGGAGCCCCCGCAGCUCAGUCCUCUUUAUAGCGUGAGCUUAUGUGUCUGUGAGAUGUUUCCUGUGCUUCUCAUCGACUGGCUCCCAGCAAGGUCCUUUUUUCUACACUGAAUUUCUGUCUUUGUAUCUUGAUCUCACAUGAUUUCAUUUGUUUUACUUUUAAUAGUUUGUCCUUUCAAAAAUAAAGAUUAAAAAAAAAAGUACAAGUUGAUCCUGUGAGAGGCUGGUGAGGAUGACGCCACUUGCCUUCCCUUUGUUCUGCUGCGAAGUCCACGAGGCCAAGCCCGUUCCUCGCAGGCCUGUCUCGGCCGCUGUGGAGAAGAGAGCGCGCGGCCCGCUCACCGUGGGCCCGAGAGCAGGGGCUGAGACGAGGCUCGCCAUGCUGGCAUGAUGCCAGGCCCCGCGCUUCUCUCCUGACUGGACUCCUCCACCCGGAUACAAUGUAAAGAUGUAAGGCUGAAAAAUAAGGAUAUGCCAUCACUGAAUUAGAGAUCUUUCUUUUCCUUCAGCCUUUCUCCUCUCCUCAAAGUUAAAGUCAACUUCCCAUGUUUCUCAUCUCAAUAAUUCUUUGAUUGGGGGUUUGUCAAAGAAAACUACAAAGGACUCUUUUUUUUUAACUCUUUAGAAGAUUUAAAUUCCAAACUUCAUAUUAAUAAAGCAGUAAAC
ensembl:lncRNA